UACAGAGGUCUCAAGCGUUGUUCGGAUUCAUUGGGCGUAAAGGGCGCGUAGGCGGCUCGCUAAGUCGGGUGUGAAAACUCUGGGCUCAACCCAGAGCCUGCAUUCGAAACUGACGAGCUAGAGUUCUGGAGGGGAAAGCGGAAUUCCUGGUGUAGCGGUGAAAUGCGUAGAUAUCUGGAGGAACACCGGUGGCGAAGGCGGGUCUCUGGGCCGAUAUUGACGCUGAGGAGCGAAAGCGUGGGGAGCGAACAGG
rnacentral:rRNA from 1 species